GCUGGUGGUUAUAGAGAAGAGGAAAUACCCAGCUCCAUUUCGAACCUGGAAGUCAAGCUCUUCAUCGCUGAUAAUACUGCAGGGUCCCCUUGUGGAAACGUAGGCCACUGCCAGCU
rfam:Arcobacter sp. LPB0137, complete genome.